UACGUAGGGUGCUAACGUUGUUCGGAAUCACUGGGCAUAAAGAGCGCGUAGGCGGUCUAAUAAGUCCAGCGUGAAAGCCCCCGGCUUAACCGGGGAAUUGCACUGGAUACUGUUGGACUAGAGUACAGGAGGGGAGAGCGGAAUUCCUGGUGGAGCGGUGAAAUGCGUAGAUAUCAGGAGGAACGCCGGCGGCGAAAGCGGCUCUCUGGUCUGUCACUGACGCUGAGGCGCGAAAGCUAGGGGAGCAAACGGG
rnacentral:rRNA from 1 species